ACCCAGCUGGCUCAUUGGUGGAGCUUGUGACUCUUGAUCUCAGGGUUAUGAGUUCGAGCCCCAUGUUGGAUG
rnacentral:tRNA from 1 species